rnacentral:rRNA from 1 species
CCUACGGGAGGCAGCAGUGAGGAAUAUUGGUCAAUGGCCGAGAGGCUGAACCAGCCAAGUCGCGUGAGGGAUGACGGCCCUACGGGUUGUAAACCUCUUUUGUCGGGGAGCAAAGCGAGUCACGUGUGGCUCCUUGCGAGUACCCGAAGAAAAAGCAUCGGCUAACUCCGUGCCAGCAGCCGCGGUAAUACGGAGGAUGCGAGCGUUAUCCGGAUUUAUUGGGUUUAAAGGGAGCGUAGAUGGGUUGUUAAGUCAGUUGUGAAAGUUUGCGGCUCAACCGUAAAAUUGCAAUUGAUACUGGCAGUCUUGAGUACAGUUGAGGUAGGCGGAAUUCGUGGUGUAGCGGUGAAAUGCUUAGAUAUCACGAAGAACCCCGAUUGCGAAGGCAGCUUACUAAACUGUGACUGACAUUGAUGCUCGAAAGUGUGGGUAUCAAACAGGAUUAGAUACCCCGGUAGUC